GACGAACGCUGGCGGCGUGCCUAAUACAUGCAAGUUGAGCGAUGAAGAUUGGUGCUUGCACCAAUUUGAAGAGCAGCGAACGGGUGAGUAACGCGUGGGGAAUCUGCCUUUGAGCGGGGGACAACAUUUGGAAACGAAUGCUAAUACCGCAUAACAACUUUAAACAUAAGUUUUAAGUUUGAAAGAUGCAAUUGCAUCACUCAAAGAUGAUCCCGCGUUGUAUUAGCUAGUUAGUGAGGUAAAGGCUCACCAAGGCGAUGAUACAUAGCCGACCUGAGAGGGUGAUCGGCCACAUUGGGACUGAGACACGGCCCAAACUCCUACGGGAGGCAGCAGUAGGGAAUCUUCGGCAAUGGACGAAAGUCUGACCGAGCAACGCCGCGUGAGUGAAGAAGGUUUUCGGAUCGUAAAACUCUGUUGGUAGAGAAGAACGUUGGUGAGAGUGGAAAGCUCAUCAAGUGACGGUAACUACCCAGAAAGGGACGGCUAACUACGUG
rnacentral:rRNA from 1 species